CAGUAGCCGCGGGAAUACGGAGGGUGCAAGCGUUAAUCGGAAUUACUGGGCGUAAAGCGCACGCAGGCGGUCUGACAAGUCAGAUGUGAAAUCCCCGGGCUUAACCUGGGAACUGCAUUUGAAACUGUCAGGCUGGAGUCUUGUAGAGGGGGGUAGAAUUCCAGGUGUAGCGGUGAAAUGCGUAGAGAUCUGGAGGAAUACCGGUGGCGUAGGCGGCCCCCUGGACAAAGACUGACGCUCAGGUGCGAAAGCGUGGGGAGCAAACAGGAUUAGAUACCCGAGUAGUCCCUGUCUCUUAUAC
rnacentral:rRNA from 1 species